rnacentral:pre_miRNA from 1 species
AAUAAGUGUAAUUUUACACUGUUCAUAUCUAACGUUUGACCGUUCAUCUUAUUUGAAAAUAAAUUAUGAUUAGUAUUUUUUAAUUAGAUGUUAAAAUAUGAACAACACUUUAUGUCUGACUAAAUUUUUUUAUUUUUUAUAAUUUUUUAAAUAAAACAAACGGUUAAACGUUGAACACGGUUAUCGAUGAUUAUGUUUAUU